rnacentral:rRNA from 1 species
CAGCAGCCGCGGGAAUACGUAGGGUGCGAGCGUUAAUCGGAAUUACUGGGCGUAAAGCGUGCGCAGGCGGUUCGUUAAGACAGAUGUGAAAUCCCCGGGCUCAACCUGGGAAUGGCGCUUGUGACUGCAAAGCUAGAGUGCGGCAGAGGGGGAUGGAAUUCCGCGUGUAGCAGUGAAAUGCGUAGAUAUGCGGAGGAACACCGAUGGUGAAGGCAAUCCCCUGGGCCUGCACUGACGCUCAUGCACGAAAGCGUGGGGAGCAAACAGGAUUAGAUACCCCCGUAGUCCCUGUCUCUUAUAC